GUCUAAUUGUAAAAAUGAAUAAAAGGGAAGUUAGAAUGAUAUUGUGUGUGUUGUCGCUGAAUAUUUUCAUUGGUGUACGUAUGAAAGGAACCUUAUUGCAUCUUUACUUCUUGGAUACAAACACGUGUAUGAAUUACUUGAAGCGAGAUACUCCUGACCAGAUGUUGGUGGAAAGACUGGAAGUUGUAAACAUGUCAUUGGUUUACUAUUAAACUGCAAAGAUUGUCAAAGAAACAAUGUGAACGAUCUGAAUUUCAUGCCCUACUCAAUCAACAACACGCAAAAGAAAUUCUAAGGUAGAAAUGCCAACGUAAAGGAGGCUGCCAAGAAACAACGAUACCAGACUUUAUAAUGUAUGAGUGAAGAAGAAUUUUUUAGAACUGCAAAAGAAACAUUGAAGAAUGCUAACAUAGGAAAAUCGUCAAACGACAAAAAAGAUGUGAUGAAGAACAAUGAGGAGAAGGAACAACAAAGGCAAUCUUAUAGCUUUGACGAAACUAAAGUAAUGGAUGCGACACGGCCCCCCAAAAGAACGCUCUUACAGCAAAAACUUCAAAUUCUUUAAAUUUGUCAGUUGAUGGAAUUCUGCAUUUGUUUGAACUAUCAGGCUACGAUCAUGGCCAUUCGCUGGAGGAAGGCAUUUCUAUGACGUCCGCAACUAACGAGAACUCAAAUAAUUUAGAAAAUUGCGACUAAAUUUGAACAGAAACAGCAGCAGCAAGUACAAUGGCAAGGAUAAAAGGGCGAGACCACGUUAAAGUUUAUGUUGAGAGAGAAUUAUUCGGUCACUGGAAGGGGCUCUCAACGUGGAUUGAACGUAAAUUAUUAACUAUCAAAGCGGAAUUACUACGAGUUAACGACGUCUAUCAGACAAACCAAAAUGUCAAUGGAUAUACCGGACGAAAUCUAAGCAUUUGAU